UUUCCGUAGGUGAACCUGCGGAAGGAUCAUUAAAGAAUCGCCCCGUUUUUUAUAAAUGGGUUCUAUUCCCAAACCGUGUAUACAUACCUUUGUUGCUUUGGCAGGCCGCCUCCGGGCGUCGGCUCCGGCUGAUAGUGCCUGCCAGAGGACCCAAACUCUGUGUUUAGUGAUGUCUGAGUACUAUAUAAUAGUUAAAACUUUCAACAACGGAUCUCUUGGUUCUG
rnacentral:misc_RNA from 1 species